UACAGAGGCCCCAAGCAUUACCCGGAAUCACUGGGCGUAAAGGGUGCGUAGGCGGUCAUAUUAGUCGGGUGUUAAAUCCCAGGGCUUAACCCUGGAAUCGCGCCCGAAACGGUAUGACUAGGAGAAGUGAGAGGUCUAGGGAACUCAAGGUGUAGGGGUGAAAUCCGUUGAUAUCUUGGGGAACACCAAAUGCGAAGGCACUAGACUGGCACUCUCUCGACGCUGAGGCACGAAAGCGUGGGUAGCGAAUGGG
rnacentral:rRNA from 1 species